rnacentral:rRNA from 1 species
GAUGAACGCUGGCGGCGUGCCUAAUACAUGCAAGUCGAGCGAACAGACGAGGAGCUUUCCCCUCUGACGUUAGCGGCGGACGGGUGAGUAACACGUGGAUAACCUACCUAUAAGACUGGGAUCACUUCGGGAAACCGGAGCUAAUACCGGAUAAUAUAUUGAACCGCAUGGUUCAAUAGUGAAAGACGGUUUUGCUGUCACUUAUAGAUGGAUCCGCGCCGCAUUAGCUAGUUGGUAAGGUAACGGCUUACCAAGGCAACGAUGCGUAGCCGACCUGAGAGGGUGAUCGGCCACACUGGAACUGAGACACGGUCCAGACUCCUACGGGAGGCAGCAGUGGGGAAUCUUCCGCAAUGGGCGAAAGCCUGACGGAGCAACGCCGCGUGAGUGAUGAAGGUCUUCGGAUCGUAAAACUCUGUUAUUAGGGAAGAACAAAUGUGUAAGUAACUAUGCACGUCUUGACGGUACCUAAUCAGAAAGCCACGGCUAACUACGUG